UAAAAGGAAGAGCCACGUUCUUUUUUCCCUUUCCUUGACCGUGCCGGCUAGAAAGUGAAUGUGAUGGCUGGGGCUUCUUUCUUGGAUCAUUAAGUGAGAAUGGAUCAUGCAUAGAGGAACCAAAAGGUGGAAGGGACCCAAUUUCCUAAGUACUUUAUGUAACAGAUCCACUAUCUAGUCUUGGACACCCUACGUCUGGAUUUUAACAUGAGAGAAAAAUCUUACACCCUUUUGAUGGCUCUGCUAUUGAGAGUUUUUAAAGUACUUAGGCGCUUAUAUAUGUUAUACAGAAAAUAUUGAUAGAAAACCAAGAAAACUUAUAUGAAUUCCAGCUGCCAGUGGUAGGAAGGAUUCUUCCUGCCUGAGCUCACAGACACAAAUCCCAGAGGCUGUACAUGUCCCAGCAAAGAAGAUAUUGAAAAUGUGUGAAAAUGGGAAAAUGGACAUUCUGAACUCUUCUAAAGCAACUGAUAGGUGAUUUUACUGAUGCUGAUAACAUUAGAGAGUAGGAUAGUUUAUGGUAAAAUAACAUAUUUUUAAAUAUUAGAAUACACGUGUACACAUACAUACGUACAUAGAUGUAAUAUACUCACAUAUUAUAACCUUGUUCAAUAAAUUUGACAUCUUCCCACAGACACUGAAGAGAUAUUUAACACAUACUAUUGAACACUGUAGAAAGCUAGAUGAAAUGAGUUCAGAAAAACUUUGUACCAAUAGACCUGGUACCUAUACUUUGUCAUGUUAACAACGAAGUAUUAUAUGUUAUAGGCCCAUUGUUCACCCCUUAGAGCACCU